AGUGUCACAAUACAAUUCACAUUGUUAAAAAACUUACCCUUGCAUCUGUGAAGAAAAUAGAUGGCAACAGGACAAGAAUGGGAGCAGGUAGACCCUCCCAGUCCAGGCAAAUAUUACCAGUGGCUAAGAGUAAGGUAGUAUCAGUGAAGAAGUGAUCCUAUUAUUGAUAGAUCUUAAAGCAGAGUACACAAGACUUGCUGAUUAAUUAAAUGUUACGCGUGAGAGAAAUAUAAAAGUUAAGGAUGAAACCAAAGUUUUUAACCUAAACAACUCGGAGGAUGGAGGGGGAAACAGAGGAACCAGUUGCAAGCAAAAAGGCCUGAGAGAAUCUCAUUGACGCUUCCACCAUGAGAAGACAUGGUGAGAAAGCACCAUCCAUGAACCAGAAAGUGUAUCCCCUUACCAGACUCUGAAUCUGCCAGCGCCUUCACCCUGGAUGUUCUAGCCUCCAGAACUUCGAGAAAUAAAUUUCUGUUGCUUGUAAGCUACUCAGUCUGUGGCAUUUUGCUAUAGCAGCUCAAAUAGACUAAGACAUGUAGUUAACCUACAAUGAUGAGCUUCUGCUGCUCUAACAUCUUGUAUAUACCCGACUGCUCUGUUUCCAUACCUUUUGACAUAUACGGUAACUUUUCAUUUCAAUACCAAUUCAUGGUGUGAUCUUUAUGAAGAUACUUUAAAAAGCAAUGAAACAUCAUUCUAUGCUGUGCUAGGAAUAUACCUAACUCAGCUGAAGUGACAACAAAAAUAGCUAUGGCCAACAUCGCAUGUACCCAGGCAAUGACAACCAUGGCAAAACUGCUGCCUGACCAACAACUGCUAUAAGAUACCACUGACUGUAAGAAGCAUCCUACCUCAGAGAUAAUAAAGUACAGAGGGAAGUUCUACUUAGAAUUGAUGAAAUAUUUAUUCCCCCUUUAAGAGAUCACCAAUGCAUAUUAACAUAUUAAAGGUACAAGGAAGCCCUGCAGUAAAGAAACCCUCUUCCCUGCUUUAAGCCAAUAUUGGACCAGACAGCCCUCUUUACAAGUUAUACCUAUCAACAUGUUGGCAAAUUCAUAUCAACAUAUUCUACUGAAAUAGAAUCUAACAAAUCUGAGCAUAAUCAAGUAAUCACAGGGAAUUUUUUCAACCGCUUUAUAGUCAAGCAGCUAUAUAGUCAACCAGGAAGACUGACCCAAUUGUGGAAUCAAAGACAGAAAAGUAGCCCCCACAGAAAUCCUAGAGACUAAUGAUGAUAAGUCAAUAUCUCCAUAUUCUUAAAGAAGACACUUGCCGGCUGGGUGCGCUGGUUCACACCUGUAAUCCCAGCACUUUGGGAGGCUAAGGCAGGUGGAUCACCUGAGGUCAAGAGUUUGAGACCAGCCUGGCCAGUAUGGUGCAACUCCGUCUCUAAUAAAAAUACAAAAGUUAGCCAGGCAUGGUGGCGCAUGCCUGCAGUCCUAGCUGCUCGGGAGGCUGAGGCAGAAGAAUUGCUUGAACCCGGAAGGUGAAGGUUGCAGUGAGCCAAGACUGUGCCACUGCACUCCAGCCUGUGUGACAAAGCGAGACUCCAUCUCAAAAAGAAAAUACAAAAAUUAGCCAGUUGUGGUGGCAUGCACCUGUAGCCCCAGCUACUUGGGAGGCUGAGACAGGAGAAUUGCUUGAACCUGGGAGGCAGAAGUUGAAGUGAGCCAAGAUCAUGCCACUGCACUCCAGUCUGGGCAACAGAGCAAGAUUUCACCUCAAAAAAAAAAACGCACUUGCCUCGUCCCCAAGUCCAGAGUUUUUAUCACGAUAAGACUAACUCCUCAGAACUGGUCAAAUUCCAGUUUAAUAAACACUAUCGAGCCCUUGAUAUACAUUAAGUCCUGAGCUCAGCACCAGAGCUACGAAAUGCUUAUAGGACCUCUGUUUCAUCAUCCGCAAAAACGCAAUAAUAAUAAUAACACAAUAAUAAUAGUAUUACUGUAUGUAUGCAGUGAAGUACUGUAUGUACAGCACUUGAUAUAGUGCCCUGGCUUGGAGGGUUGCAAGUGUCAUUCCAGUGAGGAAGAUGGAAAGGAAAGGUAGGAAAUGCCGAAGAAGCACGAGCCAGUGGGAGCCAUGGGGGCCACUGUCAUUCCCCUGUCCCUUAUU